rnacentral:rRNA from 3 species
UAUCUUGAAUGUCAAAACGACUCUCGGCAACGGAUAUCUCGGCUCUCGCAUCGAUGAAGAACGUAGCGAAAUGCGAUACUUGGUGUGAAUUGCAGAAUCCCGUGAACCAUCGAGUCUUUGAACGCAAGUUGCGCCCGAAGCCUUCGGGCCGAGGGCACGCCUGCCUGGGCGUCACGCAU